GUUUACAGCCAGACUGAACAAACAACAGUGUGAUUAAGUUACACGCAUUAGUUGGCUCCAGAACCAGAAUAGAAAUGUACAUGUUAAUCUGGGAUGGAAAGUUUUCAACAAAGUGGAGGCCGCUUGCACUGACUUGUGGGAGAGGAGAUGGGGGAGUCAGGGGCGGUACUGGCUGUGGAAUCUGAGGCGCCCAGUGUGAUAGGAAGAUGGGGCCCCUUGCUUCAAAAUUAAGAAUUUUCAAGACGGCCACAGCAGAGCAUUAAACCAAGUGCAAGGUCCUUCUGAGCAUGGGUGGGACCCGUGAGGUCGCAGAGGCUGGAAGCCCUUGAAGCCCUGGAGAAGGGAGGUUAUAAGCUCUGGGCUAAGGAGGGGUCUGUGUACCAAGUGGCGCUGCCUGGAAGGUCAGAGAUGAAAGGCUUUCAGAUUAUAUUUCUGGAGUCACUUGGGUGCCCCAAGUCACUUUUAAGCUGCGGGGAUUCAGCCGUGAGCAAGCAAGAGCUGUUGGGUGUAUGGUUACAGCUGCGGGCUCUGGCGUCGGCCUGUCAGCUUGGAGAGUUUUAAGAGCUCCACUAACCGUGUGCAUUUCCCGUCUGUAAAUGGGCUGAAUGGUAAUAACACCCACCUCUGACGUGAGGACCAUGCCCAUCACGAGUUAUCAUGUGCAAGUGUCUGGACACCUCAAGGGUUUUAAUGGAUGUCAGCAAAGACGACAGGCAGACCAGCCUCUCAGCGCCAUUCUAAGGAUCCAGGGGUGGCCUGGUGCUGACCUCACACGGCCUCUGUCCAGAGCAUCCUCUCCUGACCCAUCCUUCAAGGUCCUAAAAUUAUGCUCUUUUCCAGUCCUGCCCUUGCCAGGUUCUCUGUGGUCUGCUGGGUAAAGUUUGAUCCCUUGUCCGGAUAGUCACGGCCCUCCCCCUAUCUGACCACCUCUGCCUCGCUGGCCACGCCCCCUCCCAUCACCACAUUACCCCAGAACCAGCUUCCCACCCUCGCUUCAUCAGCCUCGAUCAUUUCCCCCACCUGAGAGCCUCCUUCACCUGUG
ensembl:lncRNA